GACCUCAAAUCAGGUAGGACUACCCGCUGAACUUAAGCAUAUCAAUAAGCGGAGGAAAAGAAACUAACAAGGAUUCCCCUAGUAACUGCGAGUGAAGCGGGAAAAGCUCAAAUUUAAAAUCUGGCAGAUGUUUGNNNGUCCGAGUUGUAACCUAGAGAAGUGUAACCUGUGCUGGACCAUGUACAAGUCUCCUGGAAUGGAGCAUCAUAGAGGGUGAGAAUCCCGUCUUUGACAUGGACUACCAGUGCACUGUGGUUGCGCACUCAACGAGUCGAGUUGUUUGGGAAUGCAGCUCUAAAUGGGUGGUAAAUUCCAUCUAAAGCUAAAUAUUGGCGAGAGACCGAUAGCGAACAAGUACCGUGAGGGAAAGAUGAAAAGAACUUUGGAAAGAGAGUUAAACAGUAUGUGAAAUUGUUGAAAGGGAAACGCUUGAAGUCAGCUGCAUUGGCUGGGGAUCAAGCCAGCUUAUUUGCUGGGUGUACUUCCUGGUUGAUGGGCCAACAUCAGUUUUGACCAUCAGAGAAAGGCUAAGGGAAUGUGGCACCUU
rnacentral:rRNA from 1 species